GCUGGCAUGGCGUAACGGCAGCCGCGCUUGCCUUAGGAGCAAGUCCUUCGGGGUGGGGGUUCGAAUCCCUCUGCCAGCACCA
rnacentral:tRNA from 1 species